CCCAAUCAAAACAAUGUAUCAAUGAAAAAAUAAGUUCUGCUUAUGGUGAGAACAACCGGAAUGUUUAAAGAAUUUUCUUUGCUUUUUUGCUUCCUUUAUUCAUUAGUUGGUGGCUUAUUUAUAAUAGCAAGUUACAAUACGAAGUAGUAGUUGAAUCAAACUAAACAACCUCAGCAAAGAGUUAUCACAAGCUACAAUAUGAAAUAGCAGUUGAAUCAAACUAAACAACCUCUGGCAAGUUCUUGCACGUGCAUGGAAGCAUGCAUGUAUCAUGCAUGACCAGCAUGGAGACAAACUCGUUAUCAUGGAACUUGGCAUUAGGCUUUGGCUUCUUCAGAGAUCUUCUCUUAUCAAUAUCCCCACCACGAAAAGGAUCCUUGUCCUCAAGGGUCAAGGAAGGAAACAAUUUUCACUCCUCUAUUGAACUUUCAUCAUACGUAGCUUCUUUCAUCUUGCUUUCACUGUCAAAAAUAAAAAGCUGCGCCUUGCUAUUGCAGUUAAAGCAUAGCCCUUGUGCGCGGCGCCGUUGCAUCUCCUCCCAUGAAAGUCGUUUGAUGGGUGUUGCUGGUGGCGUUUGGGUGAUGGUCGGCUGUGCACGGUUGCUGGUUAGUAAUUGGAACAAUUUCUGUUGCCUAGACAUCUGCUCAUCCUUCAUUCGUGGUAGGCUUAUUGCUUCCUUCAAUGUACGAGGUCUGAACAUUCGGAUCUCCUUCGAAAUUUCAGAUUUCAGUCCCCCCAUAAAGGUACCCACCAGCGCCUUCUGUGUCCACCCUUGAACACGAUUACCUAACUUUUCAAAUUCUUUCUGAUACUCACGUAAUGUUCCUAUUUGUUCGACCUGUGAUAGUGCUUCAUCGAAAUCUUCACAGUCCGUUGGUUCGAAGAGUGCCCAAAGUUCCUCUACGAACGUCUCCCAUGUCACAAUUCUGCCCUCUUCUUGGUAAGUUCGGUGUAGCCACUGCCACCAUUGAUUGGCCUCUCCUUCUAGAUGAAAAGACGCCAAAGCUACCUUCUGUUCAUUGGUCGUUUCCUGAUACUCAAAGAAUUGUGUUGUUCGGUUGAACCACUCUGUUGGAUCGUCGCCGAAGUAACGAGGGAAUUCCAGUUUUGCUAUCCUUGGUGGUAUUGGUGGCCGUCCUCCUUCACUUUCUUCUCGAAUUGGCCUUGCUAUAGAACUAGCGUUCCCUUGACUUGUUGCUCCCCUACUAGCACUAAAGGACUCGGCUAACUUACUGAUGGCGUCUUCCAUUCGUUGAAGCUUAUCAUUGAUUCCGAAUUCCAUCCGUGAUAUUCUUUCCUACAAGCUUUCCAAGUCAGCUUCAAUUCUCUCAAUACGUUCUUUGUUGGUGGUCAUUGUUAACCUUGCUCUGAUACCACUUGAUGCAGUCCCAAUCAAAACAAUGUAUCAAUGAUGAAAUAAGUUCUGCUUAUGGUGAGAACAACCGGAAUGUUUAAAGAAUUUUCUUUGUUUUUUUGCUUCCUUUAUUCAUUAGUUGCUGGCUUAUUUAUAAUAGCAAGUUACAAUACGAAGUAGUAGUUGAAUCAAACUAAACAACCACAGCAAAGAGUUAUCACAAGCUACAAUAUGAAAUAGCAGUUGAAUCAAACUAAACAACCUCUGGCAAGUUCUUGCACGUGCAUGGAAGCAUGCAU
rnacentral:lncRNA from 1 species